AUGGGUACUACAGUGGAUGUGAGUGUGUAGACCUUGUACAAUAGAGCUUAUAGGCUAAUGAGAAGACAGGAAGAAACAACAGGAACACAUAUAGCUGGAAUGCAGAUGGGAUCUGUGCUACUUACGCUAGCCAUGGGAUGAUUAGAACAAGAUAAGAGACAUGAGGAAGACUUCUUCAAGGAGGUGCUCAAGCCAUGUUUUGGAAAAGAGAACUCAAGGUCUGGCAGGGAGAAAGGAGCAAGGUCCUCUUCUCCCUGAAGGCUGUCACAGUUCCUGUGCAGAGAGAGAGGGCACUGCAGCACCCAGGCGCUGACUGCCUUUUGUCAGUCUCAUUUGCAGGCCCCCAGCUGGAGAACCCAGGAGGAAGAGGAAAAAAGUUUUUUCCUCCUCUACACUCCCCAUGCAUGACUAAAGAGUAGGAGGAGUCAGCAAGACAUAUAUAGUACCCAGGAGGUGGACAAACAACUGCCUUGGUGGAAACUCUGUCCUUUCUGGACUUAUCCUGGUGCCACUGAGACUGUGCAGAUUUAGAUCUACAAUCCACCUGGAAUUGAUUUUUGUAUAUGGAGUGAGGUCCCACACUUACAGGGAAAGCAUCACCCGAAAGUGAGAAUGCCUAGAGGCAGGAAUCAUGGAGGCUUCCUUAACCGUCUGUCUGCAACAGCAGGUGCUAGAGAUGACACUGCAGAGUAGAGAACAAAGGAAUCUUAGUAAUUGUUCAAUCCAAUCUCCACACUUUAAAGAUGAAGAAACUGGUAUUGAGAAAAAUACACAGCUUAUCCAAGGUUGCACUGCUGGUUGGUAGCUGAGAUGAAUUUAGAACCCACAUCUGAUGACUACACCAUAUUGCUCCCAGUUUUCCUGUCUGUUCCACAUGUAAAAGUCUGACUCUUCACUUCUCCUUUGAGUAUAUAGACUUUUAACAUUUUUGUAUGUCAAGAUGGACUUUUCCUCAUACCCAGCCCCUGCCUUUUCUCCUCCCUUCAUACCUUGCAGGAUCUUUAACAGAAUUUAAAAGGAGUUUUUUGUUUUGUUUUGAUGUAUCUAAUAAAAGUCAAGGGAGGGAGAGGGCCAGUAUAAGCAAGAGUACAGUUUCCUAGUUUGUAGAUGCGGUAGUCUGAGGAAUCAGAAACACACAAAGGUUUGGAGAACUGGUACAUGCUCCCAGGUGGGAAGCCAGGACUCUUGGUAGGAUCUUGAGGACAAGGCAAAGGACAAUAAGAGAGCGAGGGGAUCCUAGAGGUGGAAUCAAGGAAGAGAAACUAGAGAGAGAAAAAGGAACUGGCUAUCCAUCCAUGAUGGAUCCUGUGUGGACUGAUGGGUGGCUUGGCAUCAUCCUUUAGUAGACUUCAUGUGGUUGAAUAAUUGGCCAAUGGAAGGAAUUUCUUUUUUGGUAACAGACUCUGUGUGUACAGUUAUGGGUCUUAAUUUAUAAUAAAAGGUUACAUUGAAAA
rnacentral:lncRNA from 1 species